GUUUACACGAGCCUAUGCCUUACCAAUAGGUGAAAGAAUCUCUCUCAGUGUGGUAUGAUCACGUGGGAUUCCAGCGUGAGGAACGUGCUAGUUAGGAAAGUCCCAUAAGACUUUAGGGAAAGAAACUGCUUCAGUGUGAGGGCCACAAACAUUUUGUCAUCCUUCCCCUUGAUGCUUCAUCAUCUGUAGUUGAGGGUGGAGAGUGAAGUAGAUGCCCAGCAUGCACCUCACUGCUGGGCACCUGGACAGAAGAGGACAAGACACGUCCUCAGAGAAGGAAGGAAUCAGAUGGUUGGCUUAUUUGCGUU
rnacentral:lncRNA from 1 species